rnacentral:rRNA from 1 species
CGGGGUGAGUAAUGUAUGGGGAUCUGCCCGAUAGAGGGGGAUAACUACUGGAAACGGUGGCUAAUACCGCAUAAUGUCUACGGACCAAAGCAGGGGCUCUUCGGACCUUGCACUAUCGGAUGAACCCAUAUGGGAUUAGCUAGUAGGUGGGGUAAAGGCUCACCUAGGCGACGAUCCCUAGCUGGUCUGAGAGGAUGACCAGCCACACUGGAACUGAGACACGGCCCAG